ensembl:miRNA tgu-mir-2967 tgu-mir-2967
GACUGCAUGUUUUCUAGGAUUUUGAUUGUUAAUGCCACAUCAAAAUUGUAGAGGACUAGCAGUU